UUCAGCCUGAAAGCUGACCGACAGCUCUGGUCCUUGCCCCAAAGGAGGCACUGUAUCCAGGGAGAGGCUGGCUCCUUGAGCUUCAGUCCCCUGGAGGAGGAAUCUUUGAAACCCCAGAUGGGGCCUACUCCGGCGGUGAGUGGGGCGGACGGUCGCUGCCCCACUAUCCCGCCCAACGAUGCCUGACCUGAAGGCCCGGAGCAGAGUGGAUCUGGCCCUGUUCCCCCC